UUUCGAACUGACAAACUAGAGUUUUGUAGAGGGUGGUAGAAUUUCAGGUGUAGCGGUGAAAUGCGUAGAGAUCUGAAGGAAUACCAGUGGCGAAGGCGGCCACCUGGACAAUAACUGACGCUCAUGUACGAAAGCGUGGGGAGCAAACGGGAUUAGAUACCCCGGUAGUCCACGCCGUAAACGAUGUCAACUAGCCGACUGGUGCCUUGAGCACUGGGUGGCGCAGCUAACGCAUUAAGUUGACCGCCUGGGGAGUACGGCCGCAAGGUUAAAACUCAAAUGAAUUGACGGGGGCCCGCACAAGCGGUGGAGCAUGUGGUUUAAUUCGAUGCAACGCGAAGAACCUUACCUACUCUUGACAUCCAGAGAAUUUAGCAGAGAUGCUUUAGUGCCUUCGGGAGCUCUGAGACAGGUGCUGCAUGGCUGUCGUCAGCUCGUGUUGUGAAAUGUUGGGUUAAGUCCCGCAACGAGCGCAACCCCUAUCCUUAGUUGCCAGCGAGUAAUGUCGGGAACUCUAGGGAGACUGCCGGUGAUAAACCGGAGGAAGGUGGGGACGACGUCAAGUCAUCAUGGCCCUUACGAGUAGGGCUACACACGUGCUACAAUGGCGCAUACAAAGGGUUGCGAAGCCGCGAGGUGGAGCCAAUCUCAAAAAGUGCGUCGUAGUCCGGAUUGGAGUCUGCAACUCGACUCCAUGAAGUCGGAAUCGCUAGUAAUCGUAGAUCAGAAUGCUACGGUGAAUACGUUCCCGGGCCUUGUACAC
rnacentral:rRNA from 1 species